rnacentral:rRNA from 1 species
CCUACGGGGGGCAGCAGUGGGGAAUAUUGGACAAUGGGCGAAAGCCUGAUCCAGCCAUGCCGCGUGUGUGAAGAAGGCCUUCGGGUUGUAAAGCACUUUCAGUGGGGAAGAAAGCCUUGGGGCUAAUACCCUCGAGGAAGGACAUCACCCACAGAAGAAGCACCGGCUAACUCCGUGCCAGCAGCCGCGGUAACACGGAGGGUGCGAGCGUUAAUCGGAAUUACUGGGCGUAAAGCGCGCGUAGGCGGUCUGAUAAGCCGGUUGUGAAAGCCCCGGGCUCAACCUGGGAACGGCAUCCGGAACUGUCAGGCUAGAGUGCAGGAGAGGAAGGUAGAAUUCCCGGUGUAGCGGUGAAAUGCGUAGAGAUCGGGAGGAAUACCAGUGGCGAAGGCGGCCUUCUGGACUGACACUGACGCUGAGGUGCGAAAGCGUGGGUAGCAAACAGGAUUAGAUACCCUAGUAGUC